rnacentral:rRNA from 2 species
GGAUUGCCCCAGUAACGGCGAGUGAAGCGGCAACAGCUCAAAUUUGAAAUCUGGCCCCAGGCCCGAGUUGUAAUUUGCAGAGGAUGCUUUUGGCGCGGUGCCUUCCGAGUUCCCUGGAACGGGACGCCAUAGAGGGUGAGAGCCCCGUACGGUUGGACACCAAGCCUUUGUAAAGCUCCUUCGACGAGUCGAGUAGUUUGGGAAUGCUGCUCUAAAUGGGAGGUACAUUUCUUCUAAAGCUAAAUAUUGGCCAGAGACCGAUAGCGCACAAGUAGAGUGAUCGAAAGAUGAAAAGCACUUUGAAAAGAGGGUUAAACAGCACGUGAAAUUGUUAAAAGGGAAGCGCUUGUGACCAGACUUGCGUCCGGUGAAUCACCCAGCUCUCGCGGCUGGGGCACUUCGCCGGCACAGGCCAGCAUCAGCUUGCCGUCGGGGACAAAAGCUUCAGGAACGUAGCUCCUCUCGGGGAGUGUUAUAGCCUGUUGUAUAAUACCCUUCGGCGGGCUGAGGUACGCGCUCCGCAAGGAUGCUGGCGUAAUGGUCAUCAGCGAC